rnacentral:rRNA from 1 species
CAGGAAGUUCCAGAGAUGGAUUCGUGCUCGAAAGAGAACCUGCACACAGGUGCUGCAUGGCUGUCGUCAGCUCGUGUCGUGAGAUGUUGGGUUAAGUCCCGCAACGAGCGCAACCCUUGCCAUCAGUUGCUACGAAAGGGCACUCUGAUGGGACUGCCGGUGACAAACCGGAGGAAGGUGGGGAUGACGUCAAGUCCUCAUGGCCCUUAUAGGUGGGGCUACACACGUCAUACAAUGGCCGGUACAAAGGGCAGCGACACAGCGAUGUGAAGCCAAUCCCGAAAAGCCGGUCUCAGUCCGGAUUGGAGUCUGCAACUCGACUCCAUGAAGUUGGAAUCGCUAGUAAUCGCGGAUCAGCACGCCGCGGUGAAUACGUUCCCGGGCCUU